AACGUAGGGUGCGAGCGUUGUCCGGAAUUACUGGGCGUAAAGAGCUCGUAGGUGGUUUGUCGCGUUGUCCGUGAAAACUCACAGCUCAACUGUGGGCGUGCGGGCGAUACGGGCAGACUGGAGUACUGCAGGGGAGACUGGAAUUCCUGGUGUAGCGGUGGAAUGCGCAGAUAUCAGGAGGAACACCGGUGGCGAAGGCGGGUCUCUGGGCAGUAACUGACGCUGAGGAGCGAAAGCGUGGGGAGCGAACAGG
rnacentral:rRNA from 1 species